rnacentral:rRNA from 1 species
GAUGAACGCUGGCGGCGUGCCUAACACAUGCAAGUCGAGCGGUAUAUAUUGGAAUGAAACUUCGGUCGAGUGAAGAUAUAGAGAGCGGCGGACGGGUGAGUAACGCGUAGGCAACCUGCCCCAUACAGAGGGAUAGCCUCGGGAAACCGGGAUUAAAACCUCAUAACGCGAAAGAGUCACAUGGCUUUUUCGCCAAAGAUUUAUCGGUAUGGGAUGGGCCUGCGUCUGAUUAGCUAGUUGGUGGGGUAACGGCCUACCAAGGCGACGAUCAGUAGCCGACCUGAGAGGGUAAUCGGCCAAAUUGGAACUGAGACACGGUCCAAACUCCUACGGGAGGCAGCAGUGGGGAAUAUUGCACAAUGGGCGAAAGCCUGAUGCAGCAACGCCGCGUGAGCGAUGAAGGCCUUUGGGUCGUAAAGCUCUGUCCUUGGGGAAGAAAAAAAUGACGGUACCCUUGGAGGAAGCCCCGGCUAACUACGUGCCAGCCGCCGCUGUAACAC